rnacentral:rRNA from 1 species
AUGAGGCAGCCGCACCUCCUCUCGCCGCAGCGGCUCUCCCCCUCGCCCGUCCUCUCCCCCCACUUCUCCCUUGGGAACUACCUGUACGGUUUGACUUCAGUCAAGUUCUUACCCUACGUGUUGGGCAGUUGGUUGGGUAUGCUUCCAGGAACAUGGGCUUAUGUCAGUGCUGGUGCAUUUGGGCGAGCUAUAAUCCAAGAUGAGACGGAGAUCGGUUUGGGAGGAAACAACCAGCUAUUGACACUGGGCAUAGGCCUAUUAGUUACAGCCGUUGCUGCUACUUAUGUAACACGGCUUGCUAAGGAUGCUGUAAAGGAUAUUGACGACGAAUAG